UACGUAGGUGACAAGCGUUGUCCGGAUUUACUGGGCGUAAAGAGCGCGCAGGCGGUCGUUCAAGUCGAGUGUGAAAGCCCCCGGCUCAACUGGGGAGGGUCAUUCGAUACUGAUCGACUCGAAGGCAGGAGAGGGAAGUGGAAUUCCCGGUGUAGUGGUGGAAUGCGUAGAUAUCGGGGGGAAUACCAGUGGCGAAAGCGGCACCCUAGCGUUAGCCUGACGCUCAUGUGCGAAAGCGUGGGGAGCGAACGGG
rnacentral:rRNA from 1 species